rnacentral:rRNA from 1 species
UACGUAGGGGGCAAGCGUUGUCCGGAUUUAUUGGGCGUAAAGAGCGUGUAGGCGGCCAGACAGGUCCGUUGUGAAAACUCGAGGCUCAACCUCGAGACGCCGAUGGAAACCGUCUGGCUAGAGUCCGGAAGAGGAGAGUGGAAUUCCUGGUGUAGCGGUGAAAUGCGCAGAUAUCAGGAGGAACACCAACGGCGAAGGCAGCCCGCUGGGACGGUACUGACGCUAAGGCGCGAAAGCGUGGGGAGCGAACAGG